UCUAGAAAAAUGGAAAAAUGUCUAAGAGGUUUUUACUCGUUACAACUUUAACAACCAUCGUUCAGACUAGAUUAAUCGUCCCCGCGAUAUCACGCCUUUGAUAUAUCCAUCGCGUCACGGAUGUGGAAACAAUAAUAAUUGCGAUAUGGAAAUUCGUUGCCAUUUUCCAUUUAAAUUCUAGAGAGUUUUCAUGUCGACGGGAAGUGUUGGCACGAUGUAUUAAAAAAAAAAAAAAAAAAAGAAAGGAAAAGAAAAAGAAAAAAAAUGGAAAAAUUUCUAAGAAUAUACGUUUAAUGUUGCAACAUUAAUAAGGGUGAUGUCAAAGGUAAAAUUAAUUGUUCGCGUGAUAUCAUGUGGAAAAAAAAAUGGAACGUUGAAAAUGAAGGAUUUUUUAUUCCAAUUUUAUAAAUUUUUCAUGGCAAUGCAGAGAAACUGGUAAUGACGAGAUAUGGAAAUUGGGAAUUUUCCUAGUGAAUUCUAGUAAUUUUUCAUGACAACACGGAGAGGCUUGUAACUACGAAACAUGGAAAUUGAAAAUUUUCGAAUUCUAGUAAUUUUUCUCGUUAACAGGGAGAAGCUGGGAUACGCGAAAUGUGGAAAUUGAAAAUUUUCGAUUGAAAUUCCAAAGAUUUUUUUAUUUGAAAAAUGGAAAUUGAGAAUUUUCGAUUCGAAUUCUGGUAAUUUUUCACCAGAGAAUAGGAAGAAGUUGGUACGAUUUGGGAGCAUCGCGACGCUAAGUCGCGCCAGCUUUCUCGGAAUUGACGGUGACCAGCCAUCGGGGUGUUGCCAGCAACGUUAGUAACAACCAACGUUCAGCCUUGGCCCCGUGGCCCGAUUCGUGCAUACUGUGCGCUAACCCAUCCUAGUUAACCGUUCGUUAUGUCUUACUAACGUCAAACGAUUACUAAUAACAAGUUAAAUCUUUCUUUCAUUUCUUCAAUAAUUCUCGCCCAUUUUACACUUCCAUUACUUUUUUCGAAAAAUAAAAAAAGAAAUAAAUAGUAGCUUUUCUAAACUGCUAUUUACAAAAGUCAGAACAAUUUUUAUUUGGGGCGUUUUUCAGCUUGACGAAUAAUUAUUCAGGUCGAACAAAAACAGCAUGUCUUUCAAUCCCUUUCAAAAUUUUGCCGAGUUCUAUUCGGGAAAAGCGGGACAAACAAUUUUUCAAAGUUUUUUCGAAAUCAUUAUUGUCGAAAACAAUUGCAAAGAGAAUUUCAUUCAUUCACGAUAAAAGCAAAUUAUUCUCUGUAAUUAUCGAAACGAUAUUAUUAAAUUUUCGUCGUGAAAUUUCGAAAUCAAUCGAUAUAAAAAAAUAUGGAAAUUACUCAUAAAUGUAUUAUUUAGCAACGUAUAUCUUCGACAUUUCUAUAGGAUUUGAAAAAUGAUAUAAAAAUCUUUUAUUGGCCAUAUCGAGAAGUAAUAAUUUAUUAUUUUUCACCUAUAUAACGAUGGCAACGGUGACAGCAUCGAUGUAGCGUCCAAGUCAAUACAGAUGUGUCACAAACACGUGAAUAUGAACGACAGAAUCACGGAAUAUAUAACGUAUAUCGCACUAAAGUCGACCUAACCUAUGAAGUAUCGCGUGUAUAGGAUCAUAUGCAUUGAUAUCGCUCGAAGAUUCGAUAUUCAUUAUCGAUUUUGCUAUCGACUGAUCUAUACUCCUUUAAGAAAUUUAUUUCGAUGUAUCAUUUACCUCUUCAUAAACGCACUUUGUAAAAAGAUUUUUUUUUGAUAACCUUUCUCAUUAUCGCAAGUGAAUUAAUUGAAAAUGUUUUUUUUAAACAGAACGGUUACAAUAGGUUAAGUUACAAAAUAAGGUUAACGUGCACUUACUUACACGAUUAUUUCUUUGCAAACUGCACGAACUAUGGAACAAAUAUAAACAUUCUUUUAACCUAACUUUUUCUAGUUUUUUACGAAACGAUUACCUAUUUAUAAAUAAUUCUUACAUUUCCACAUACUAACAACAAUUGUUAAAGAUUAGAACGACGUGAUCGAUCGUUCUUGCUGGAUAUUUUACGCAGAUUUAUACAAAGAACAGAUACGUGAAAUUGUUACAAAGAACGACAGGGUCGAUGAAAUUAUGCGGUCGAAAGGAGAACUGUCGACCGGUAAUAUCGAUCGAGCAUGCUAUUUUUGCAUAGGUGUCCCUUUUCCGUAAUAACGAGAAUAAUGCCAUGAAAAAACUUUCGUCUAGACGUUCCUCAAAUCGAUCUCGAAUAUCUCUACAAACCUUAAACUCAAUUUUGAUCGGGUAAAAAUAUCGUGUAACGGUUUCGAUCGAUGUAAGAAUGGUUAGUCGAAGUGUAAAGUAGUAACGCACACGCAUUAUGCGACAGUUUUAUACCUUGGCACCGUUUCUUCGUGAACACGCACACAGCAAAGGAACAGACUGUUGCAUGAACGCUCAUUUGCAAAGCUUGGGCGAACUCUAGCAUUUUCAAGUGUAUCAAAGUCGAAAAACGUAACACGAAUUUUCAUCGAGCAGUCACAAAUAUGUACUAUUGUGAUUGUAAAAAAUUUGAAAAAUCAAAGGAUCUUAUUCGCGAUGCACAAGUAUACGCAAAAAUGUAGAUAUUUCCAUUGACAAACAAGAAACGAAGAAGGGAAAUAAUGUUACAAUUUAUAAACGUGUGACAAAAACGUACCAACUGUUGGAAGAAAAAUCUUUGAAAACAUAUUGUAACGCCGACUUUUCAAUCGCCUUUAGUUAUUUCUUCAAUGUGAACUCUGCAUUCACCAACUUUGCAAGUCGAGAAUAUGCUCUCGAUGUGAACGAGCUCGAUACACAACGAUUUCGUCCAAGUAUUUGAAAACUUUCAAUUAACCUUUGUUCUCGAUCUAAAUACUUCACCCGUAUCAAAUAAAGAGGCGGCUCUUUAAGCAUCUACCGCGCGAUUAAUAAACGUUUAUAAAUAAUUGUAUCGUUAAAAACUGUAAAAAAAGUUGUAUCUUUUCUUAAUCUCGUGAUUAAAUUUUUUCAA